UACAUCUGCUUAUGUCUUCUUUGA
rnacentral:siRNA from 1 species